AUAACACAUUUUAUAUCUUUCUAGUCGAGCGCAUCGUGCGACUCAAGAACGAGCUGUAACGUGGCAGCAGCCGUCUCAAGGCUCUGCCACCAAUGUCCUUCGGUGGCGCACUGGAAGUACGCUGCUGUCCGCAUUCCGGUGUCUGCCGAGCCCUACCAGAUCGAAAUCACCGGCCUGGAUGGCAACACGGGCGACGUGGCGUUCGAUCUCGUCAGCUUCGAGACGUUCGAGGUGUGCGCGCCCACCUGGGUUCCCUACUUCGGCGUCAUCAACGACGUAAAGACGUCUCAGACAACUGACUCCAUUGAGACCUGUGCAAAGAAAUGCUUGAGAAGAGCCUCCUGUGAUCUCUUUGGUUUCAACUACGACAGUGGCAGGUAAAACUGAGACACAUCUUUGUCAUUUUUCAAAUAAACUAUAAUAAACAUGAAAAAA